rnacentral:rRNA from 1 species
GACGAACGCUGGCGGCGUGCUUAACACAUGCAAGUCGAACGGAAAGGCCCUGCUUUUGUGGGGUGCUCGAGUGGCGAACGGGUGAGUAACACGUGAGUAGCCUGCCCUUGACUUUGGGAUAACUUCAGGAAACUGGGGCUAAUACCGGAUAGGAGCUCCUGCUGCAUGGUGGGGGUUGGAAAGUUUCGGCGGUUGGGGAUGGACUCGCGGCUUAUCAGCUUGUUGGUGGGGUAGUGGCUUACCAAGGCUUUGACGGGUAGCCGGCCUGAGAGGGUGACCGGCCACAUUGGGACUGAGAUACGGCCCAGACUCCUACGGGAGGCAGCAGUGGGGAAUAUUGCACAAUGGGCUGAAGCCUGAUGCAGCAACGCCGCGUGCGGGAUGACGGCCUUCGGGUUGUAAACCGCUUUCGCCUGUGACGAAGCGUGAGUGACGGUAAUGGGUAAAGAAGCUCCGGCUAACUACGUG